CAUUGCUUUGCAUGUCAAAGUGAAGAAAUUCAACCAAGCACGGGUAAAUGGUGAGAGUAACUAUGACUCUCUUAAGGUAGCCAAAUGCCUCGUCAUCUAAUUAGUGACGCACAUGAAUAGAUCAUUAACAAGAUUCCCCACUGUCCCUAGCUACUAUAUUCUAGAGGAACCACAUCCAAGGGAAUGGGAUUGACAGAAUUAGCGGGGAAAGAAGACUUUGUUGAGCUUGACUCUAGUCCUAACCCAUUCAUAGUUUGGGA
rnacentral:ncRNA from 1 species